rnacentral:rRNA from 1 species
CCCAUGCCGACUCGAGGUUGCUAAGGGGCUGUCUUCGGACGAACCGACCCACCUCGACGAGGCAAGCGAUGCGGGGACGCAGAAGGGUAAGUGAGCCCAGGCGAUGGUUGUCCUGGGGUAAGCGUGUAGGCCGGGGGCCAGGUAAGUCCGGACCCCAACCAGGCCGAGACGUGACACCGAGCCGCUUCAGGCGAAGUCACCGAUCCCAUGCUGCCGAGAAAAGCCGCUAGUGAGCUGGCACGGCGCCCGUACCCCAAACCAACUCAGGUGGACAGGUAGAGAAUACCGAGGCGAUCGGGAGAACGGUGGUUAAGGAACUCGGCAAAAUGCCUCCGUAACUUCGGGAGAAGGAGGGCCUCGCCAGGGUGACAGGCUUCGCGCCUCGAGCCCGAGGGGGCCGCAGAGUCCAGGGGAAAGCGACUGUUUACUAAAAACACAGCAGCGUGCGAAGUCGCAAGACGAUGUAUACGCUGUGACGCCUGCCCGGUGCCGGAAGGUUACGGGGAAGGGUUAGCCGCAAGGCGAAGCUCUGAACCUAAGCCCCGGUAAACGGCGGCCGUAACUAUAACGGUCCUAAGGUAGCGAAAUUCCUUGUCGGGUAAGUUCCGACCUGCACGAAUGGCGUAACGACUUUCCUACUGUCUCAACCACCGACCCGGCGAAAUUGAAGUACGAGUAAAGAUGCUCGUUAGCUGCAGCAGGACGGAAAGACCCCGUGGACCUUCACUACAGCUUGAUAUUGGGUUUUGGUAUGCGUUGUGUAGGAUAGGUGGGAGACUAGGAAGCAUUGGCGCCAGCCAGUGUGGAGUCGCCGUUGAAAUACCACCCUGCGUAUGCCGGGACUCUAACCUUGGUCCGUGAUCCGGAUCGGGGACAGUGUCAGGUGGGUAGUUUGACUGGGGCGGUCGCCUCCUAAAGAGUAACGGAGGCGCUCAAAGGUUCCCUCAGCCUGGUUGGCAAUCAGGCGUCGAGUGCAAUGGCACAAGGGAGCUUGACUGCGAGACCUACAAGUCGAGCAGGUGCGAAAGCAGGUCAUAGUGAUCCGGCGGUUGCGUGUGGAAGCGCCGUCGCUCAACGGAUAAAAGGUACCCCGGGGAUAACAGGCUGAU